rnacentral:rRNA from 1 species
UACAGAGGGGGCAAGCGUUAUUCGGAAUUAUUGGGCGUAAAGGGCGCGUAGGCGGCCUGGCAAGUGGAAGGUGAAAUCCCUCGGCUUAACCGAGGAACUGCCCUCCAAACUGCUUGGCUUGAGUCCGGGAGAGGUGAGUGGAAUUCCCAGUGUAGCGGUGAAAUGCGUAGAUAUCGGGAGGAACACCCGUAGCGAAGGCGGCACUCUGGGCCGGUACUGACGCUGAGGAGCGAAAGCGUGGGGAGCAAACAGG